rnacentral:tRNA from 1 species
CGCUAAGAAGCUAAAUAGGAAUAGCAUUAGCCUUUUAAGCUAAAGACUGGUGAAUACCGACCACCCCUAGCGA